rnacentral:misc_RNA from 1 species
UUGAAUAAAUUUAGGGUUGGCAGUUGCUGGCUCUUCUCUCCAUUCAUUUGGGGGGGAGCGCAAUAUGUGCACGCCUUUCUCUAUUUUUUUCAUCCACACACACCUGUGCACUUGUGAGAUGGAGGGGGCAGAUUUUAUAUUUGACCCUUCCAUCUAUUACACUACACAAACUCAUUUAUUUUAAACUGAAUGUAAUUGAUGUAACGCAUCAUUUAAAC